UACGUUCCCGGACCUUGUACACACCGCCCGUCAAGCCAUGGAAGUUGGGAGGACCUGAAGACAGUUGCUGUAAGGCGCUGUUUAGGGUUAAACCGAUGACUGGGGCU
rnacentral:rRNA from 1 species